AGGACGAACGCUGGCGGCGUGCCUAACACAUGCAAGUCGAGCGAGGAGAUUCCUUCGGGAUGAUCCUAGCGGCGGACGGGUGAGUAACACGUGGGCAACCUGCCUCAUAGAGAGGAAUAGCCUUCCGAAAGGGAGAUUAAUACCUCAUAACAUUGCAGUUUCGCAUGGAACAGCAAUUAAAGGAGUAAUCCGCUAUGAGAUGGGCCCGCGGCGCAUUAGCUAGUUGGUGAGGUAACGGCUCACCAAGGCGACGAUGCGUAGCCGACCUGAGAGGGUGAUCGGCCACAUUGGGACUGAGACACGGCCCAGACUCCUACGGGAGGCAGCAGGUGGGGAAUAUUGCACAAGUCGGGGGAAACCCCGAUGCAGACCAACGCCGCGUGAGUGAUGACGGCCUUCGGGUUGUAAAGCUCUGUCUUCAGGGACGAUAAUGACGGUACCUGAGGAGGAAGCCACGGCUAACUACGUGCCAGCAGCUGC
rnacentral:rRNA from 1 species